rnacentral:rRNA from 1 species
CAGCCGCCGCGGGAAUACGUAGGUGGCAAGCGUUGUCCGGAAUUAUUGGGCGUAAAGGGCUCGCAGGCGGUUUCUUAAGUCUGAUGUGAAAGCCCCCGGCUCAACCGGGGAGGGUCAUUGGAAACUGGGAAACUUGAGUGCAGAAGAGGAGAGUGGAAUUCCACGUGUAGCGGUGAAAUGCGUAGAGAUGUGGAGGAACACCAGUGGCGAAGGCGACUCUCUGGUCUGUAACUGACGCUGAGGAGCGAAAGCGUGGGGAGCGAACAGGAUUAGAUACCCCUGUAGUCCCGUCUCUUAUACA